GCUGCCGGCCUGCGGGGGUCCCGGUGUCUCCGGCCGCGACCCCCCGCCCCGGGCGCUUUGCCUGCUGCAGAGGGGGCCGGGCCCGGGAUGCGGGGCUGGGACAGGGGCAGAGCUCCAGGGGUGCCCUAAGAGCCGGGAAGUUUUGCCUCUUCCAAAAUAACGGCCUCGCGGGGGGAAGUUGGUUUUUCUUUUGUUCGUUCCGCGCAUUUCGGUGUCUCCGAUCACGGCUCUCGUGCGGUGGCUUGUGCUGUUCUUCCAGCACCUCUGGAAACGCGGUUAUGAAAUGACUUCAACGGGAAGCGCCCGCCGGAGAGUCCCUGCUUUUGUUCCUGGAUUUUCCUUGCUCUCCUCUGGCAGGUGAACACCUGCGAAGGGCUGGGCGGUGGGGACCGGGCGAGGACAAUGCCUGCAUUUUCCCAGGGUUUGGAUCUGAGCUGACAAAAAUGCACGGCUGGCCCUUCAUCCAGCCUGAAUGCUGGAUACUGUGUCACAAAAUCUGGGGAAGGCUGGUGUUAACCCGGAGAGCCCUGAGAGCCAUGCCGUGCUCUCAGAAAUGGUUCGAAUCCCUCAUGUUUGGUGUGUUAGGAGGAUAUACAGCGUGUAUCUCCAGGGAAUCCAGGCUCCCCACUCAAUGUCGGUACACCGCAUCCUCAUCAGGUUAAUUGGCCUUUUGCCUCAUUAAAAGCAAGGUACUUUGUCAAGUUAUACUUAGCUCUGUAAUGACCAUAUGUGUACUGCUCUGUGGUGGUUGUUGUUGUGUUAUUAACUGGGUGUUUCUGGGGCAGAUACUCUGCCAUUCGGGACUGCUGAUCCCACAUUGUGAAAGGUAGACCUGCCUCUUUUUUUAGUUGUCCAAAAGAUAAAUUUAGAAGCUUGCGUUUCCUGGGAGAAAGGUGGAACCUUGCACAUCAUAAAAUGUUGUUGAGGAAAAUGGGCUAAGACUGCGUGCGAGAAAACUAAUUUGGGAGGCACUAAUUUCAUGUGCAUCUGUAUGUGGGCCAUCGUGGACAGAGAGGAGUUAGCGAAAGAGCUGUGGUACAGACAAGAGGAAAGUAAAUGGGGGAAUUUCUCAGGACUGUGGUCUCAUUGUCGGGGGAAAACGCAGCAAAAGGUACGUGGCUUUUAUUAUUACUUAAAUUGUUUUUUUAUCAAAAAGGAUUCUGAACUUGUGCAUCUCUGAGCAGCAGGGUUUGACUUUAAGGGGAACGGAGGCUGCUCCGUGGCAUCCUGGCUCAGGCCCAAAGCGUUAAUGUGUGGGCUGAUGUAACAACAAGUUAAGAGUUGUCAUUCUGUCGUGACACCUUCUUGGAGCUGAUGCUUUUGUUUCUGUGUGGCUCUGAUGGGUUGAUUCGGCUCCCUGGCUGAGGGACGCUGCAGGUUAGUGGGAGCCUUGUCUCAGCAGAGCUCGAUGGCAGAUUCCAAAGGAAAAAUAAAAUCUGGUGGUUGGGAACUGUCAGAGCUGUGGUUUGGUUUGGUGAUGAAGAUGAAAUGGGAGCCUCAGCUUGCUGAACUGGUGGUUCUCUGAGCACCUCACGCUCUUGGUUCAGCCAGGAGGUUACUUCUGAAGGUGACUUUCCUGGCAGGAUUUUCUGAUUUGUAGCACCUGAACUGCUGGAAAGGUGUGUGAACUGGGAAACCAGGCCACAGUUUGCCUUCAAGCUCUGUGGUUUGUGCUGGGAGGGAAAAUCUGAAGGGGUGCAGGGGUAUUUCCCAUUCUUGCUGCUGAUGAGGGCGGUGAGAACUCCAGAGCUGGCAGGGGGUGAAUGUCCAGGCACAAGCUGCACUCUGAGGGACAGCUGGGCUGCAGCUGUGAGGGAUGUUACCGAGCUGGGGGACAGAUGCUGGGGUUGCUUCUGAGCAGGAAGGGAGGAUCUUGUGGCUGUGCUCACUCCAAUCCCCCCACUCCCAAAGAUGGAGGCCUCACAGGACCAUCUUCUCCCUGCUCUGGCUCUGUGCCUGGGUCUGUUUUCCAGUGAUUCAUCCCCUUCUCACCGGCUAAGAUGCCGUGUGUCUCCUGCUCUUGCUGCUUGCCGAGGUCCGGGAUGCGAUGCAGGAUUAGACCUGUGAUGGGAGCAUCCAUGUCUCGCUCCAAGGAGCCGUCUCUGCUGCUUGCACAGCUCGCUCAGAGGAGUGAAAGCGAGUGCUGAGACUCUGCAUGGGACCCAGACCCUCUCUGAGCAGAGCCAGGAGGACUGAGCUCCUUAAUUUUGGAUGGUCUCAUGUCUCCUUUGUGCCUACACACACAGAUCAAGGAGGAGGAAAUAGGUGCAAGACACAGUGCUGGCUCUCACUGGUGAAGGAGCUGGUGGCAUUAUCCCCACUGGAACAACUCCUGAUCUGAGUCCAGAACGGGGGUUGUGGUCCUCAUCCUCCUGGUCUUUAGGGGUAGCUCGUGUCAGCAUCUGCUUCCCACUCUGUAUGAGUCCCCUCUUUCUGUGUGAAGGAUUUAUGUGCAGGUAUUUUGUACACAGAAGAAUGGGGAUUUAACCUGUCCAGGCUCUGAUUCCUGCUUUCACAGAGGAACAAAUGUCUUCCUGCCUCCAUAUGCAGCGAGUUGCAAAGUAGCUUUAAUUAGAGCCUGUACGUCUCCUGAAGCACCUCACCGAAAACGCUGCUGAGCUCCAGGACGAGGUCUGCGACUCGCCUGCAGGAUUAGCUAGCUUAGCUGGGGCAGGUAAUCUGGUGGUGGCAGAUCCCUGGGAGGAUUUGCAGGCAGAGGACCUGUUGUUGUAGAUGGCACUUUUUGCAGAUGGGGUAUUUAUUUUUUUUCCAGUCCGAAGGUGUCUUGGUCCCAGUGGGAAUCAGGAGUGUGCUGGGGCUGUGGCGUUUGCCUCUGUGGCCACAUAAUGCUGGGAGCUGUUUAUCCUGGAGCGAGGUUGCUUAGAGCUGGCCUGUGAGAGGAGGAGGGAGGCCGGAUUUUGAAGUGCCCGCUGGAAAAUACAGCCCUCUGGAUUACAGUGUAGGUGUUGCUGCCUGAAAUAGCACUGGCAACUUUGGACCAGCAGCUCAUGCAAAAAUAUCCCUCUUCACUAUCCUGCAGAUCAUUGGACUCACUGCAAGGCAGGCAGGCACAGGGGAGGGGUGUGGGUGGGCUCCAGCUGCUGGUGAUGGUACUCUGCCUUCAUCCCAGGACAGCUGUGGAGCACGGAGCAGUAAAGCUGGAUUUUCUCACACACCACCUUGCUAAUUAGAGCUGUCUGAAACUAUUUCUCACCACCUUCAGAAAAUCACACUUCCUUGGAUUUGCAGAAGAGCAAAAACUUGCUUCCUUCUUGCCUUGAGUUCCUGCAGGUGGGGAAUGGUCACUGUGCUGCAGACAGCUUUGACCCCUCGCAAGGGUGGCGCAUUUCUGGGUGCUCUCUCAAAUCCCCUCAUACAGGAUUCGGUCUGGAGUGGACCUGGGGUGGCUGGGUCCUUGUGGCCAGGUCAGCUCCUUGUCUCCUAAACCAGCCAUCCAGCAACUGGCAACUGGAACUUUGCUCGGCCGAAGCUGCAGGUCCAAGUGACUCCAGUGGUGCCCGACACAACGGAGUUUUCCCCUCCCAGGCAUGUGCCAUGUGUGGAGCAAAGCCUGGCUAGUUUCUCAGUUCCCCUUUCAGAAACGUUUGACUAAAUAAAGCAUCUCCCCAAGGA